rnacentral:rRNA from 1 species
GGUUCAGGAUGAACGCUGGCGGCGUGCCUAAUACAUGCAAGUCGAACGAGGUAGCAAUACCGAGUGGCGAACGGGUGAGUAACACGUAGGUAACCUGCCUUACAGUUUGGGAUACCCGAGGGAAACCUUGGCUAAUACCGAAUAAUUCUUUUGGAGGCAUCUCCAGAAGCUAAAAGGGGCCUUUAAAGCCUCGCUGAAAGAUGGACCUGCGGCGCAUUAGCUAGUUGGUGAGAUAACAGCCCACCAAGGCGAGGAUGCGUAGCCGACCUAAGAGGGUGAACGGCCACACUGGAACUGAGACACGGUCCAGACUCCUACGGGAGGCAGCAGUAGGGAGUUUUCGGCAAUGGGGGAAACCCUGACCGAGCAACGCCGCGUGAACGAAUGAAGGUCUUCGGAUUGUAAAGUUCUGUUAUAAGGGAAGAAUGAUAACUUGAGGAAAUGCUAGUUAUUUGACGGUACCUUAUUAGAAAGCCACGGCUAACUACGUGCCAGCCGCUGC